rnacentral:tRNA from 1 species
UAGCCUAGUGGUUAAGGUUACGGAUCGUCAAUCCGGAGACAUCGGGUUCGAUUCCCGU